rnacentral:tRNA from 1 species
GCAGACAUAGUUUAAACCCAAACACUAGACUGUGACUCUAAAAAUAGAAGUUAGAUCCUUCUUGUCUGCC